AUUGAACGCUGGCGGCAGGCCUAACACAUGCAAGUCGAACGAGUGGCGGACGGGUGCGUAAUGUCUGGGAAACUGCCUGAUGGCGGGGGAUAACUACUGGAAACGUUAGCUAAUACCGCAUACCAUCGGAUGUGCCCAUAUGGGAUUAGCUUGUAGGUGGGGUAAAGGCUAACCUAGGCGACGAUCCCUAGCGGGGCUGAGAGGAUGACCAGCCACACUGGAACUGAGACACGGUCCAGACUCCUACGGGAGGCAGCAGUGGGGAAUAUUGCACAAUGGGCGCAAGCCUGAUGCAGCCAUGCCGCGUGUAUGAAGAAGGCCUGAGGGUUGUAAAGUACUUUCAGCGGGGAGGCGUUACCCACAGAAGAAGCACCGGCUAACUCCGUGCCAGCCGCCGCGGUAAUUC
rnacentral:rRNA from 1 species